UCCGGGUAUGUCCUUAAACUACGUCCAAAACAGAUGUAUGGGCACUGUGAAUGUCAUCUCGCUUUGUGUGGUAGGGCACAGCAUAGCAGCAGAUCCCAACUGGGGAAGUACUUACCUCCACCUUACAGAAAACCGCAGCCAAAUAACACAUUAGACCGUACUCAUAGUGUUGUGUUCCUACCGGUGAGUAAAGUAGCCAGAGCUCAACGAGGGUGCGGAUUGUCAGGGUCGGCAACGCGUGCGUCCAUAGGCUACGGUGACUGCUCACUACCAGACGGGCCGUGUGCUUGUUUGCC